AUAGAAGCCCCAUCGUAUCAAUCAUGUGACAACGGCAGGGACGAUUACCAGAAAGAUGGGGAGGAUGCACUGAAAAGUCACCGCAAAAGGUUUCCACUGUAGGAAACUGAGGCUCAGGGAGUUGAACAAUUUGCUCAAGAUCACCCAGAGUUAAUGAAGCCCAGAUUCUAACUCAUUUUGUUUUUUUCCUCCAAAUCUAGGUCCUUUUCUCCAUACCACCCAGCCUCCCCACAAAAAGGGAGAUACCUUGGUUAGAUGCCUAAGCCUUGAUUGAAAAGUAACUCCAGAUGACCCAUUUCAUUAAAUAAUCCAUGGAGGACAGGGCCAGAGUUGAUUCCAUCAGACACCCUCUCCUGAGAAUCUGAAUUUUGAAACAGUGCGGGCAGGAUAGGAGAUCUUGUUGGAAAUCAUUCAUCAUGGUGGUAGUGGCAGCACUCAGGUGAAAAUGUGCCUGCAACCUGAUCCUAGGCCUUCCAACUCUCCUUUGGUUCCUGUGUAUCCCCAAGCUUGCUUCUCCAGCUACCUACAACUUAUUUGAGCCCCACCCACAU
rnacentral:lncRNA from 1 species